AUUGAACGCUGGCGGCAGGCCUAACACAUGCAAGUCGAACGGUAGCACAGAGAGCUCGCUCUCGGGUGACGAGUGGCGGACGGGUGAGUAACGUCUGGGAAACUGCCCGAUGGAGGGGGAUAACUACUGGAAACGGUAGCUAAUACCGCAUAACGUCGCAAGACCAAAGUGGGGGACCUUCGGGCCUCACACCAUCGGAUGUGCCCAGAUGGGGUUAGCUAGUAGGUGGGGUAAUGGCUCACCUAGGCGACGAUCCCUAGCUGGUCUGAGAGGAUGACCAGCCACACUGGAACUGAGACACGGUCCAGACUCCUACGGGAGGCAGCAGUGGGGAAUAUUGCACAAUGGGCGCAAGCCUGAUGCAGCCAUGCCGCGUGUAUGAAGAAGGCCUUCGGGUUGUAAAGUACUUUCAGCGGGGAGGAAGGCAGUGAAGUUAAUAACUUCACCGAUUGACGUUACCCGCAGAAGAAGCACCGGCUAACUCCGUGCCAGCCGCCGCCGUAA
rnacentral:rRNA from 1 species